rnacentral:rRNA from 1 species
GUCCACGCCGUAACGGUGAGUGCUAGACGUCGCGGGUAUUGACCCCGCGGUGUCGAAGCUAACGCGUUAAGCACUCCGCCUGGGGAGUACGGCCGCAAGGCUAAACUCAAAGGAAUUGACGGGGCCCGCACAAGCGGUGGAGCAUGUGGUUCAAUUCGAAGCAACGCGAAGAACCUUACCUGGGCUUGACAUGUUUGAGAACCCUCUCGAAAGAGAGGGGUGCCCGCAAGGGAGCUCUUUCACAGGUGCUGCAUGGCUGUCGU